GCUCUUUAAAAAUAAGGUUUUAAACUUAUUUAAAAAAUUUUUAAAGUAACAAACCACAAAUUCCUUUUCCAAAUCUUUUAAAGACUGUGAAUCUUUUUCAAAAUUCUCCAGCUCCUCUAUGAUAAUGAAUUGGAAUUUAUCAAGUUUUUUAAUCCUAUUACAGAAACAAAAUGAGAUUAAUUUUAAAAACUGUAGCAUUCAGAAUAUAGGAAUAUGUAGCAUUCAAAAGUUUUCAGAACAGAUUUUUAUUACAGACCUAGAGUCCUGACUUUGAUGAUUCAUUGUUCUCAGAUGUUGCUGAGCUGUUUUCCAAGACUGCGUAGUAAAAUAACUCAACAUUUUAUGUCGGAUCUGAAAAAUACUCAUUUUUAAGUUAAAAUAUCUUUACAAAAUAACACUCUAACCAAGACUACAGUAACAGCAAAUAAUUUUCCACGAAAUGUAAAUUACUAAGAAGAACUUGGAAAAGUGAAAAAUUAAAAACUCAGUUAUUUAAACUGAAGUGUUAAUAGACACUGCUCUGAGUGAACUUAUUUAACUCCAUCAGUAGGUCUUUGACUAAGGGUUGAGUCCACAAUUGUUUUCAUAAGAACCCCACACUCUACAGUAUUUACAAAAAUGCUGAUGGUUAUAAUUCUCUUCAAAGACACAGCCUAAAAGUCACACUCAGAAUUUUUUAAAACCAUUUUUUUCACAAAAACAUAAAUCUAGCUACAGACACAUAGGAGAAUAUAUAAGUCAAAGCUUCUCUAUUCAGAUUAGGUUGGCCUUGGGCCAAAAAAAAAAAAAAAAAAAAAGAAACAGAAAAAACAAGCAAUUUCUAAUUUUAACCCUGAAUAUAGGAGAAAGGAAAGCAAGACUGGGGGCGGGGGGGGGGGGGGAGGGUGUUGAUAACCUGUGCCCAAAAUAUCUUUUAUUCAAAGGAGGGCAUAAAAAACUAAAAAACUAUCGAUUCCAAAUAGAGGCAUGUGAAAGAGAUAGGCAGAAAUAUAUUACUAAUAAUUAAAAACUGUUUUAAAAAGCAUUUUUGCAUUAUCUCACUGGAACCUCAAAAACUAAGACUACAUAACUAUAAUACAAAACUAGUAAAACAAAAUGAAAUGGUAUUGCUCUGACUGCAGCUGCUCAUUCUUUAUACUACACUAUACUAUCUUCAUUAAUGCUCACCUAAAUGACAUAAAAAAUGUCUUGAAAAGUGGCAUGAAAACUGUCCAGUAAAAAAAAAAAAAAAAUCACAGAAAAGCCAAAACAUUAAACUGAAAAGGAAAAUAGGACAAAAGAGAAAAAAGUAGUAGCAAAAGAAAGAAUACGGGUAAUAUACAGAUUUUAUUCCAAUUAUUCACAUAUAAGGAAAGUUGGUUUCAUGAAUGGAUAUUUUGUUGCCAAAGGAUCAAACAAGCCAAUGGUCUAGUAGAAAGUGUGGCAUAUUAUUAUAUUAUUGGGUAUAAAUCAUAAUUUAAAGAAUAACUCACAUUAUUCCUUCUCUUAAAUUCUGAAUUGAGCCUCUCGUAAGUCUCAUAAGUCAUCUCUAUCCCUGCAAAUUCAUUUUGCCAGGUCUCCCAAGGAAUAGAAAAGUCAUUUGUUGAUAAUGAAGAUACACUUUCAGACACUAAAAAAUGAAAACAAUCUGCUGAAGUUAAAAUAUGCAUUACUCUAAAUUUAGCCUUGUAAUUAGGCUAAGAACAAAAUCUAUCUUAUUUUCCGAAUCUAUGUGUAACCUAAGGAUUAUGAAAUCAAAGGCAGAAGAGUUCCUUAUGUUUUUUUUAAUUUAAAAAUCAGAUUAUUCUGAUUUAUAAAACAAACUUUUUGGUAUGGCUAUUACAGCAGAAAUGACUACUUUAAGCUGGAACAUUUAUGGAUUAUUUUUAACUGCUUUUUAACUAGUUCCACAUUAUUAUUAGGUAUUUAGUGAGGUACUAGCACAUCAGUAAAUUCAUACUCUAGUUAACCUAAAUGUGAUAGUAAGUGACAGAAUGAUGAGGGAGAUCUAUGGGCAUCUAAGACCCUUACUACAACAAUUAUUCAUAUAAAUGUGAACUUUGCAAUAAAGCAUCAUCCAUCUUGGACAUAUCCAAAGUUGUCUUUACAAAUUUGUUUUGUAAAUAGACUCAUUCAAAAUAUAAGAACCACCCUCCAAAUAACUGCAUUUUGAUACAGGCUACUGAUCUACCUACUUUUGUGGAUAUGAUGAUCUGCAUCUUCAAUUUUACACAGUUUUUUGGGAAGCAAGUUUGCUCUCCUUUCUCCUUUCUCUUCCAUUUCUACUUCAUUGGAAUUACUUAGAUUAUCUUCUAUAUAUAUUCUUUUGCGACUAAGAUGUUGGGUGGGGC
rnacentral:lncRNA from 1 species